rnacentral:tRNA from 1 species
GAGGGUGUAGCUCAGUGGUAGAGUGUGUGCUUAGCAUGCAUGAGGUCCUGGGUUCAAUCCCCAGUGCCUCCA